UACGUAGGGUGCGAGCGUUGUCCGGAAUUAUUGGGCGUAAAGAGCUUGUAGGCGGUUUGUCGCGUCUGCUGUGAAAACUGGAGGCUCAACCUCCAGCCUGCAGUGGGUACGGGCAGACUAGAGUGCGGUAGGGGAGAUUGGAAUUCCUGGUGUAGCGGUGGAAUGCGCAGAUAUCAGGAGGAACACCGAUGGCGAAGGCAGAUCUCUGGGCCGUAACUGACGCUGAGGAGACGAAGCAUGGGGAGCGAACAGG
rnacentral:rRNA from 1 species